UACGUAAGGCGCAAGCGUUGUCCGGAAUUAUUGGGCGUAAAGAGCUCGUAGGCGGCCAGUUGCGUCUGCUGUGAAAUCCCGAGGCUCAACCUCGGAACUGCGUCUGAAACUACUCGACUAGAGUACUGGAGAGGGUAACGGAAUUCACGGUGUAGCAGUGAAAUGCGUAGAUAUCGUGAGGAACACCAGAGGCGAAGGCGGUUACCUGGACAGUUACUGACGCUCAGGCACGAAAGCAUGGGGAGCAAAAGGG
rnacentral:rRNA from 1 species